rnacentral:rRNA from 1 species
CCUACCAAGGCGAUGAUGCAUAGCCGAGUUGAGAGACUGAUCGGGCCACAUUGGGACUGAGACACGGCCCAAACUCCUACGGGAGGCAGCAGUAGGGGAAUCUUCCACAAUGGACGCAAAGUCUGAUGGAGCAACGCCGCGUGAGUGAAGAAGGGUUUCGGCUCGUAAAAGCUCUGUUGUUGGUGAAGAAGGACAGGGGUAGUAACUGACCUUUGUUUGACGGUAAUCAAUUAGAAAGUCACGGGCUAACUACGUACCCAGCAGCCGCGGUAAAU